rnacentral:tRNA from 1 species
CGGUAGCUCAGGGGAUAGAGCGUCUGCCUCCGGAGCAGAAGGUCGUAGGUUCGAAUCCUAUCCG